AAGAAGCUUGUGAUGAUGCUUGCAGUAUAUGCCUUGAGGAUUUUUGUGAAAGUGAUCCUUCUACGGUUACUGCUUGCAAGCAUGAGUUUCACCUCCAGUGCAUCCUUGAGUGGUGCCAGAGAAGCUCUCAAUGCCCUAUGUGCUGGCAAUCUAUCAGCCUGAAGGACCCCACCAGUCAAGAGCUGCUGGAGGCGGUUGAACGAGAGAGGAAUAUAAGGGCUACUCCAGUGAGAAAUACUGCUGUGUUUCAUCAUCCAGCUCUUGGCAAUUUCGAGUUGCAACAUCUACCUCUGGGUGUUAAUAAUGCCGAGCUUGAAGAGCGAAUAAUUCAACACCUGGCUGCAGCUGCUGCAAUGGGGAGGACACACCAUAUUGGUAGAAGAGAAGGGAGGAGUAGGUCAUCAUCUCAUGGACGUCCUCACUUCUUGGUUUUCUCCACUCAUCCUGGUGGGCCUCCUGAGCAUGUCUCAGCCUCUGGAGUAGACACUGAGCCAGCUGGUAUUACUG
rnacentral:misc_RNA from 1 species